GGUGCUAUAGUGUAGUGGUUAUCACUCGGGAUUUUGAGAAAUCGUCGGAGUUUGAAACUUCCCGAAACCCAGGUUCGAACCCUGGUAGCACCU